UACGUAGGGGCCUAGCGUUGUCCGGAAUUAUUGGGCGUAAAGAGCUCGUAGGCGGUCUGUCGCGUCGGCUGUGAAAUCCCGAGGCUCAACCUCGGGUCUGCAGUCGAUACGGGCAAACUAGAGUAUUGCAGGGGAGACUGGAAUUCCUGGUGUAGCGGUGAAAAUGCGCAGAUAUCAGGAGGAACACCGGUGGCGAAGGCGGAUCUCUGGGCCAUUACUGACGCUGAGGAGCGAAAAGCGUGGGGAGCGAACAGG
rnacentral:rRNA from 1 species